rnacentral:rRNA from 1 species
GGAGGAAGUAGGGGAUCGCAAGACCUUGCGCUUUUGGAGCGGCCGAUGCCUGAUUAGCUUGUUGGUGAGGUAAAAGCUCACCAAGGCUCCGAUCAGUAGCUGGUCUGAGAGGACGACCAGCCACACUGGGACUGAGACACGGCCCAGACUCCUACGGGAGGCAGCAGUGGGGAAUUUUGGACAAUGGGGCAACCCUGAUCCAGCCAUGCCGCGUGAGUGAAGAAGGCCUUCGGGUUGUAAAGCUCUUUCAGCCGGAACGAAACGGUCACGGUUAAUACCCGUGACUACUGACGGUACCGGAAGAAGAAGCACCGGCUAACUACGUGCCAGCAGCCGCGGUAAUACGUAGGGUGCGAGCGUUAAUCGGAAUUACUGGGCGUAAAGCGUGCGCAGGCGGUUUUGUAAGUCAGAUGUGAAAUCCCCGGGCUUAACCUGGGAACUGCGUUUGAAACUACAAAGCUAG